UACGGAGGAUCCGAGCGUUAUCCGGAUUUAUUGGGUUUAAAGGGUGCGCAGGCGGGAGAUUAAGUCGGCGGUGAAAUUUUGCAGCUCAACUGUAAAAGUGCCUUCGAAACUGGUUUCCUUGAGUGUGGAUGAAGUAGGCGGAAUUUGUGGUGUAGCGGUGAAAUGCAUAGAUAUCACGAGGAACUCCGAUUGCGAAGGCAGCUUACUAAACUACUACUGACGCUCAGGCACGAAGGCGUGGGGAUCAAACAGGAUUAGAUACCCGCGUAGUCCCU
rnacentral:rRNA from 1 species